rnacentral:misc_RNA from 1 species
GAAAUGCGAUAAGUAAUGUGAAUUGCAGAAUUCAGUGAAGCAUCGAAUCUUUGAACGCACCUUGCGCUCCUUGGUAUUCCUUGGAGCAUGCCUGUUUGAGUAUCAUGAAAUCUUCAAAGUAAAUCUUUUGUUAACUCAAUUGGUUUCUACUUUGGUAUUGGAGGUCUUUGCAGCUUCACACCUGCUCCUCUUUGUUCAUUAGCUGGAUCUCAGUGUUAUGCUUGGUUCCACUCGGCGUGAUAAGUUAUCUAUCGCUGAGGACACUGUAAAAGGUGGCCAAGGUAAAUGCAGAUGAACCGCUUCUAAUAGUCCAUUGACUUGGACAAUACUUUUAUGAUCUGAUCUCAAAUCAGGUAGGACUACCCGCUGAACUUAAGC